CUAGGUUACCCGCCUGUGGAAACUCUUGAUUUCCACAGGCACCCAGCGCAGGCGGUUCUCCAAACCGCCUGUGAAAUGGGGUUGGAAACCGCCUGUAUAGUGCUUCUGUGUACUAGUGGUAAUAUCUCGAUGAAUUGAUAAAGUGUGAUUAUUCUUGUUACUUACGUAUAUGAAUGUUAGCUAACCAUGCAAUAAUAUAGGUUUUGUUAGUUAUACUCUUUGUGUUCCAAACUGUAAAUGGUUCUAGCUUUUCUGGUUACAUAGCUUUUGCACGAACCUAGAUAUACAUGCAUUAUAUCCAAACAUAGACCUUGUUUAGUUCCAAAAAAUUUUUGGAUUUCGGUACUGUAGUAUUUUCUUUUUUAUUUGAUAAAUAUUAUUUAAUCAUGGAUUAAUUAGGCUCAAAAGAUUUAGACAAACUGUACAAUUUGUUUUUGUUUUCGUUUAUAUUUAAUAAUUCAUGCAUGCAUGUGCCGUAAGAUUCGAUGUGACAGAGAAUUUUGAAUUUUUUUUUAUUUUUAGGGUAAACUAAACAAGGCCAUAUAGUAAAAAGCUAUACAAUUUGGAACGGAGUAUUUCCUCCCCUUAGAAAAACAAUGGCGUGAGGAGGGCACAUGCAUGCAAAUUAAAAGCACACGUGAUGGUUGACGGUUCUGGAUGAAUCCACAUCCACUCAGGUACCAAAAUUGGGCGUGACACCCGUGAGGGACCGUUUCCCUUUGCAAAUUGAAGGACACGGACAAUCAGAUACCCAAUCCCGGCUGCGGCCUUCCCUGCUCAAACAAAACUGCCCAUCAUGCACUCCUUCGUCGCCUACUACGUCUGUCUCACUCCGCAUGUUGUUUAGUUCCAAUUCUUUUUUAAAAAAAUAGAUAUCAUAACACUUUCGUUUGUAUUUAAUAAAUAUUAUUCAAUUAUAAACUAAUUAGGUUCAAAAGAUUUAUCUCACAAAUUACAGAUAAAUCUAUAUUUAAUGUUCUAUUCAUGUGCCGUAAGAUUUGAUGUGACGAUUAAUCUAAAAAAUUUUGCAAAAUAUUUUUGGAACUUGCCACAGCCAUGGGGCCCACUGACCCCACACACUGAAACUGAAAUGCUCGGACUCAUCUGCUUCUGUUUCUGGGUCUCUCCCUCUCUCACGUGCACACAUCAAACGGACCGGGCCGGACUCUAACAUUGGGCUCGUCUGUAAAAGCACAGCUCAAAGUGGCCCAGGUGAUGUACUGUGGCCCUGUAGUGAGCCCAUUUGAUUGAUGGGCUCAAAGUAGCUUAUAGGCUUAUGGCCCGCAACUGGCACGGAUUGCUAGUACUGUGUGUGCAGCGUCAGGAUUUCAUCAUCAUCAGACAAAAGAUCAAAUCGGGAACAAGCAAAACCAAAUGGCUGAAGAAUCUAAAAAAGAGGUCGAGAGGAAUUAAGUUUCUUCUUAAAGGAGAAGAAUAAAGGACAAUAAUCGAGUCGUUAUCUCAAAAAUGGAA
rnacentral:lncRNA from 1 species